AGAAAAUUAAAAGAAAUUGAAACUCUAGAACACCAUGCCAUUUCAACAAAAAUUUGCUGUUUAAAAUCCAAAAACCAAAAAAGAUAGUAGCCAAUGGAACGGUGUACAAGGAACAGAGUACAGCAAACCCAGAGGUUAGAUACUGUCAUGUUACUGGUGCUCAAGAAGAAUCGUUUGGUGUAACUUAAAUAGCAAAUAGCACAACACCACACCGGUUCAGGAGGCGGCUGAUGCAGUAGCGAAGGCAGCUCUGUAAAAUCUUACUUGAGAGCUCCUGCCGAUGUCUUUUUUUCCGAUACGACUUUUCGACUCGUUGGUAUCGAUGGCAAUUGGCCAGGACGUCGAAGAAGACAAAAAUGAUCCGAGCUAGCAGAAAUCAUCAGGAGUCGGGGUAGUCGAGUUAUUCUCCAGCACUGCCAGUCUGCCAGGGCGAGUUGGUCGCUUCCGAAGAGAUGCGGAAUGCAAAAAGAAAGCUAUUCGUUUUGCCUCAAUGGGGUCCUCUACUGUGAAUAUGCUGCGUGUCGUUUAAAUGACAUUCAUUAUCAAGCUUCCCUAUACGUUGAAACGGAGAUACCCGAUGCCUGUCUCUUCUGAUCUCCCUGAUGUCAACUCUCAGUUUCUGUGUGGGCGGAGCCCUCAACAAGAGGAGGUGCCUGCUCGACGGUAUUUCCAAGGCUUCAAGGUAGGACGCAGUAUUAAUUAUAACUAUUUCCCACUAUUUGCUAGUCCAAAGUUGAAUAACCCGAUUGAUAUCGAUAUCAGGCAUCGUCCAUCCACUGAAUGCUCUUAUCGAGUCCUAUUUAACCGUCCUAUUUAACCUCUUUGACCGUCCUAUUUAAGAAAUGAAUUACCAUUGUAAUAACGCGACGUAUUUUGUUUCCAGUGAUUGGGUUUCAUUUUCUGGGUCAGUCUGGAAAAUAAUCAGCUUUUUCAGUCAGGUAGCCAUCCAACGUAGGCUAUUUGAGUUGGCUGCAGUACAUUUUCAAGGUCGAUUUGAAUUAAGCAAUUUUUUUCCCACUUUUCUAGCGAAAUUUGCUAUUAUAAGGGAAAUUCGUUUGAACUUCCAUUCAGCGACGCUCUUGUUGAUAAAUAUCAGAACUCAAGUGUUAUUAGUUUGAUGUUUUUAUUUUUCACAGCCAACUUUUUAAUUACCAUCCAAAAUAAAUGAGAAGUUUUAAACCAA